rnacentral:lncRNA from 1 species
GAGGAGAUACUCCUACUGUAAGGAACCGGACUUUUAAAAUUAUGAAGUUACGAUAUACAUUUGGUUGGAAAGCCAUUUGAAUGGUUCCGGUAAGGUUGCGGUGGAAUGUAAUAUACCGGAUUUUAAAUAUAAAAAUAAAAAUAAAUAAAAAUAGUAUGAGAUACUAUUUUUAUUGGAUUUAGAGGAGUAAAACAUAAGUCAGAAGUGACUUGUGCUGAAAUCGGAAUGAAAACAGAAGAUCUAGAAUUUUCUGUUGGAAACGGGACAGAUAAAUUAGCAGAAAAUGCACAGUCUCAGAAAAUUAUGAAAAUUGGAGGAUAAGUCAAAAAUAUUUUUAUGAGGCUAGAUUUGAAGUUUCAUAUUUUUCUGACACCCGUAGAGUGAGAAAUAAAAUCUGAAAGCUAUCUGAUAAAGAUUGCAGUUCGGCACAGUUUUCGGUGACCAAACGGAGUCGAAACUGGAAACUUAAAAUAUAUUCUUGCUCAGUACGUAAAACUGAACAUGACUGUCAAGUUUGGGCUCAAACGGAGAUUCAGGGAGCUCCGACGAAAGAUAUCAGAUUUCAAGCUGCCCGGGAUGAAUAGUGUUUUGAGGGGUGUUAAUUAUAAGAGAAGCAGCAGCUUCUUCUUCUUCCGUCAACCGGGCACACCCAAGCAUCACACGCACACACGCAUGGAAGGGAAAAGAGAGAAAUCUCCUUCUCUCUCUAGAUCUCUCCCAAAAUAGAUGGGUUUUGGUGGAGAUUGAAGCUCAAGGGUGGGUUUUCAUCUUCAUGGUCUCCUUCCUCUCCAUUGGAGCAUGCUUUGAAGGUAAGCUUUAAGAGCUUUAAUGGCAUUUCUCUAUUGCUUGGGUUUUAAGCUCUAGAAACGGAUUAGUAGCUUUCCUAGAUGCUAAGUAGAUGAAUUAUGCUUAGAUCCUAAGUUCUAAUGGUGGGUUUUUACCUAGUGAAACCUAGAGCUCCAAAAUGAGGGCUUUAAUGGUAGAUCUCUAAAGAUAGGUCUAAAUACUUUGGAAAUGGUUUUUGUGGAACCCAUUGAUGCCUAAUAGAUGAUUAAUGCUUGAAUCAUAGAGCAAUCUAAUGAUUUCUUGCAUAGUUGUAAACCUAGGGCUCAAAAUGCUAACUUUCAAAGUAUGAGGGUUUGAUCUCAUUUGACCCUUCGUAAACCUAAU